GGGGAAGUGGCGGAAUUGGCAGACGCGCUAGUCUUAGGAACUAGUGCCCGAGAGGGCGUGUGGGUUCGAGUCCCACCUUUCCCA
rnacentral:tRNA from 1 species